AGAGCGAACGCUGGCGGCAGGCUUAACACAUGCAAGUCGAGCGCCCCGCAAGGGGGAGCGGCAGACGGGUGAGUAACGCGUGGGAACGUACCUUUUGGUUCGGAACAACACAGGGAAACUUGUGCUAAUACCGGAUAAGCCCUUACGGGGAAAGAUUUAUCGCCGAAAGAUCGGCCCGCGUCUGAUUAGCUAGUUGGUGAGGUAACGGCUCACCAAGGCGACGAUCAGUAGCUGGUCUGAGAGGAUGAUCAGCCACAUUGGGACUGAGACACGGCCCAAACUCCUACGGGAGGCAGCAGUGGGGAAUAUUGGACAAUGGGCGCAAGCCUGAUCCAGCCAUGCCGCGUGAGUGAUGAAGGCCCUAGGGUUGUAAAGCUCUUUUAACGGGGAGAUAAUGACGGUACCGUAGAAUAAGCCCCGGCUAACUUCGUGCCAGCAGCCGC
rnacentral:rRNA from 1 species